CCUACGGGUGGCAGCAGUGGGGAAUAUUGCACAAUGGGGGAAACCCUGAUGCAGCGACGCCGCGUGAGUGAAGAAGUAAUUCGUUAUGUAAAGCUCUAUCAGCAGGGAAGCAAAUGACGGUACCUGAGUACGAAGCCCCGGCUAACUACGUGCCAGCAGCCGCGGGAAUGCGUAGGGGGCAAGCGUUAUCCGGAUUUGCUGGGUGUUAAGGGAGCGUAGACGGCAGUGCAAGUCUGGAGUGAAAGGCGGGGGCUCAACCCCCGGACUGCUCUGGAAACUGGACGGCUGGAGUGCAGGAGAGGUAAGUGGAAUGCGUGGUGUAGCGGUGAAAUGCGUAGAUAGUAGGAAGAACACCAGUGGCGAAGGCAGCUUACUGGACUGUAACUGACGUUGAGGCUCGAAAGCGUGGGGAGCAAACAGGAUUAGAUACCCCUGUAGUC
rnacentral:rRNA from 1 species